GGGGCGGCUGGCUUUGUUGGGUGAGCUUGGUAAGGUGUACCUGUGGCAGGACGUGGUUGUUGAUUCGCAGCUUCUUAGUAUCCGCUAACAGGCCGUACUCUUUCUGACUACAACAUCCAGAAAGAGUCGACCCUGCACCUGGUCCUGCGCCUGAGGGGUGGCUGUUAAUUCUUCAGUCUUGGCAUUCGUAGUGCCCAGUGAUGGCAUUACUCUGCACUAUAGCCAUUUGCCCCAACUUAAGUUUAGAAAUUACAAGUUUCAGUAAUAGCUGAACCUGUUCAAAAUGUUAAUAAAGGUUUCGUUGCAUGGUAGCAUA
rnacentral:sRNA from 1 species